rnacentral:lncRNA from 1 species
GGUUCAUUAUUACUAUGACAGUAAGAAAGUUUUCAUAGAUUAAAAUAUACAUAAUUGACAUUCGUUCUUUUUCCUUUUACAACUAGUAGGUGUUGUUUAAUAAGAAUAGCUUCUAUAAGCGUUGUUCUUUUAUUCCAUGGCUCACUGCAAACUCCACCUCCCAGGUUCACGCCAUUCUCCUGCCUCAGCCUCCCAAGUAGCUGGGACUACAGGCACCCCCCACCACGCCUGGCUAAUUUUUUGUAUUUUUAGUAGAGACGAGGUUUCACCGUGUUAGCCAGGAUGGUCUCGAUCUCCCGACCUCGUGAUCCACCUGCCUCAGCCUCCCAAAGUGCUGGGAUUACAGGCGUGAGCCACCGUGCCCGGCCAAGUAAAACUCUUAUACAAUGCUUUUGAUAAUGUAAAUUGAUUCAAUUACUUGAAAAAGUGUAAAUUAGUAUC